GUUAAACUUUUGUUUCCUAAAUUUGGAGUAGAACCACUGAGUACUAAAUUGCAUUUAGAAACUGCUGAUUUCAUAUUGCUCACUUAUAAGCAUCGUUAGGAGCAUGCAAAUAGGUUUUUUGAAAAUGUUGAGAAAAAUUACAUGUUACACUUUACAUAUGCUUUAACAAUGUGCUUUAUGGAAGUGCUAAGAAUCUUUUUCUUGACAAUUUUUUUAAUGACUAUUCUACUUCCUUUUACUGACACACCUAUGUGGAUAAUUUGGUAUUUCACUCCCAUCUUUGGUGAGUCAGGUGUGUUUUGCUUUAAUCUCUCAUAUUCCAAGCCAAUACAGUCUUUGGUGAUUACCUUCAUCAUUCUCUCUCUAAUAUAGUUCAGUAUACAAACUGAUUAAAGUGUACAAUAAAUGAGAUAAGAACUGCGUUCUUCUAAUCCCAAAUUAUCACUUCAGACCCCAAACAUGUAACUGAAGGAUCAAAGGCUGACUUUUUAUCAUAAAUACAAUUCAAAAACAAAGAAAACCUGAAUUAUUUUCAAGUAAAUAAAAUCAGGCUAAAUCAUUGUAAAUCUAUAAACAUUCCUCUCACAUAAUACAGUGUAUUACAAUUUAUUUUGUACUUUUCUUUGUUAGGGCUACAAAUAGAAAGAUCUCAAGGUGUUAACCAGCUGAACAGAUAUUCAGCUCUUUUUAACUGAAUAACAAGGAGUAGCUGCCAGUAUACUGGAAAGUCACCAAAGCAAGAAGAUGAUACACAGUAGUGUAGGAACUGUAUUGUCAAGAUGCAUUUGAUUCCUGUUGACUGGGAGCCGAGACGUAUUUUGUUUAAACUCAUGGCUAUGAACUAUGUAGAAAAGGCUUCCUUUUCUCUGGAAAGGUCUUUGCAAACUCAGGGUCAUGGACAUAUUGCAGGCAUAAAACAAAGAUGUACAACAGACCCAAACAUGAAAACCAUUAUCAAAAUAGUGACAAAGCAAGGCCUAACAUGUGAGUGCCUUGGGGUUAGCAUAACAAUCACGGUGAAAACAUAA
rnacentral:lncRNA from 1 species